rnacentral:rRNA from 1 species
UACGUAGGGUGCAAGCGUUGUCCGGAAUUAUUGGGCGUAAAGAGCUCGUAGGCGGUUCGUCGCGUCGGCUGUGAAAUCCCGAGGCUCAACCUCGGGUCUGCAGUCGAUACGGGCGGACUGGAGUUCGGCAGGGGAGACUGGAAUUCCUGGUGUAGCGGUGAAAUGCGUAGAGAUUGGAAAGAACACCGAUGGCGAAGGCACUUUACUGGGCUAUUACUAACACUGAGAGACGAAAGCUAGGGUAGCAAAUGGG